rnacentral:rRNA from 1 species
GAUGAACGCUGGCGGCGUGCCUAAUACAUGCAAGUCGAGCGAACGGACGAGAAGCUUGCUUCUCUGAUGUUAGCGGCGGACGGGUGAGUAACACGUGGAUAACCUACCUAUAAGACUGGGAUAACUUCGGGAAACCGGAGCUAAUACCGGAUAAUAUUUUGAACCGCAUGGUUCAAAAGUGAAAGACGGUCUUGCUGUCACUUAUAGAUGGAUCCGCGCUGCAUUAGCUAGUUGGUAAGGUAACGGCUUACCAAGGCAACGAUGCAUAGCCGACCUGAGAGGGUGAUCGGCCACACUGGAACUGAGACACGGUCCAGACUCCUACGGGAGGCAGCAGUAGGGAAUCUUCCGCAAUGGGCGAAAGCCUGACGGAGCAACGCCGCGUGAGUGAUGAAGGUCUUCGGAUCGUAAAACUCUGUUAUUAGGGAAGAACAUAUGUGUAAGUAACUGCGCACAUCUUGACGGUACCUAAUCAGAAAGCCACGGCUAACUACGUGCCAGCAGCCGCGGUAAUACGUAGGUGGCAAGCGUUAUCCGGAAUUAUUGGGCGUAAAGCGCGCGUAGGCGGUUUUUUAAGUCUGAUGUGAAAGCCCACGGCUCAACCGUGGAGGGUCAUUGGAAACUGGAAAACUUGAGUGCAGAAGAGGAAAGUGGAAUUCCAUGUGUAGCGGUGAAAUGCUCAGAGAUAUGGAGGAACACCAGUGGCGAAGGCGACUUUCUGGUCUGUAACUGACGCUGAUGUGCGAAAGCGUGGGGAUCAAACAGGAUUAGAUACCCUGGUAGUCCACGCCGUAAACGAUGAGUGCUAAGUGUUAGGGGGUUUCCGCCCCUUAGUGCUGCAGCUAACGCAUUAAGCACUCCGCCUGGGGAGUACGACCGCAAGGUUGAAACUCAAAGGAAUUGACGGGGACCCGCACAAGCGGUGGAGCAUGUGGUUUAAUUCGAAGCAACGCGAAGAACCUUACCAAAUCUUGACAUCCUUUGACAACUCUAGAGAUAGAGCCUUCCCCUUCGGGGGACAAAGUGACAGGUGGUGCAUGGUUGUCGUCAGCUCGUGUCGUGAGAUGUUGGGUUAAGUCCCGCAACGAGCGCAACCCUUAAGCUUAGUUGCCAUCAUUAAGUUGGGCACUCUAAGUUGACUGCCGGUGACAAACCGGAGGAAGGUGGGGAUGACGUCAAAUCAUCAUGCCCCUUAUGAUUUGGGCUACACACGUGCUACAAUGGACAAUACAAAGGGCAGCGAAACCGCGAGGUCAAGCAAAUCCCAUAAAGUUGUUCUCAGUUCGGAUUGUAGUCUGCAACUCGACUACAUGAAGCUGGAAUCGCUAGUAAUCGUAGAUCAGCAUGCUACGGUGAAUACGUUCCCGGGUCU